rnacentral:rRNA from 1 species
GACGAACGCUGGCGGCGUGCUUAACACAUGCAAGUCGAACGGAAAGGCCCUGCUUUUGUGGGGUGCUCGAGUGGCGAACGGGUGAGUAACACGUGAGUAACCUGCCCUUGACUUUGGGAUAACUUCAGGAAACUGGGGCUAAUACCGGAUAGGAGCUCCUGCUGCAUGGUGGGGGUUGGAAAGUUUCGGCGGUUGGGGAUGGACUCGCGGCUUAUCAGCUUGUUGGUGGGGUAGUGGCUUACCAAGGCUUUGACGGGUAGCCGGCCUGAGAGGGUGACCGGGCACCAUGGGCCUGAGAGAGGCAGCAGUGUGGUAUAGGAGGCAGUGGUCGAGAGCAUUGUCCAGCCAGGGGGAGUGUGAUGAGGAGGCGCUGGGUGUGGAAAGAACGUUUUGGGGUUGUAAAGGGCUUUAGGCUGUUACGUAGCGUGAGUGACGGUAAUGGGAAAAGAAGCACCGGCUAACUACGUG